GUACUUACCUGGCAAGGCAGAUGCUGUGAUCACGAAGGUGGUUUUCCCAGGGUGAGGCUCACCCACCGCACUCCGGAUGUGCUCAGCGCUGCGGUUUCCCCAAAGGUGACAAACUCGACCGCAUAAUUUGUGGUAGAGGGGGACUGCAUUCGGGCUCUCCCCUG